rnacentral:rRNA from 1 species
AGAGUUUGAUCAUGGCUCAGAAUCAACGCUGGCGGCGCGCUUAACACAUGCAAGUCGCACGCGCGGAGCUUGCUCCGUGAGUGGCGCACGGCUGAGGAUCACGUGGGAACAUGCCUCCUUGUGGGGGACAACACGCCGAAAGGCGUGCUAAUCCCGCAUACGCUCGGUGACGAGGAAAGCCGCAAGGCGCAGGGAGAGUGGCCCGCGGCCCAUCAGGUGGUUGGUGGGGUAAUGGCCUACCAAGCCGGUGACGGGUAGCUGGUCUGUGAGGACAGACAGCCAGACUGGGACUGAGACACGGCCCAGACUCCUACGGGAGGCAGCAGCAAGGAAUUUUCGUCAAUGGGCGCAAGCCUGAACGAGCAACGCCGCGUGGAGGAUGACGGCCUUCGGGUUGUAAACUCCUUUUUCGGGGGACGAUGAUGACGGUACCCCGGGAAUAAGGCUCGGCUAACUCUGUGCCAGCCGCCGCGGUAAUUC